UAAACCGGAAAUGUAAACCCGGAAGUAAUGGCGUUAGCGAUCGCCGCUAAUCAACAUUAACAUUAUUUUACGGUUAAUUCUGGCUUUUAUAACGUUCAUGCUUGGCUGCACAUUACUAAAAUAGUUAUCGCACAUCACCAUAAAGCGAAACAAACGUUCUCAUAUGGAAAAGGGCUGACCAGACAAGAUUGUGGCCUGUUGUUACGGACAUCAAACCAGACUAUUAUCAUCUUCUCUCUGGAAAAACAACCUCCAUCCAAACUAACAGUGAUGGAGGCCUGGAGGUGCAGCUGCUCCACUGGGCCCUCAAGACCAGACCCAGCAGCAGACCACGAGGUCCACUCAAAGCCUGCUGGGACACCAAGAGACCAAGACAGACAUGAGCGAUGAGGUGAGUCCAGCAAGCGCGGGAUCAGGACCCCCCCCCCCACCCCCCCCCCCCCCCCCAGUCGAGCCCCGCAUGCAGAGUGGGGAGGGAACAGGCCCCCUUCCACGGAUGCCUAAUUGAUGGCCCUUUAAAAUUCCCACAGAGGACCAAUCAGGGGUUUCAUCUCGGGGGCAACGCCGGGCUCAGAUGGGCCAGCCGGGGGCUUCUGGAAUAGAGAAGAGUGACAAGUGACAUGGAGGUGAGGAACAGGAUGAAGAGCUGUUGCACAUGAUGAGAUUUUGUUGUGGAAAAAGCGUUUCAGUAUCAUUUUAUAAAAUUCCAGAUAUUAUAUUCACUGGUCCACAAUUAUGGACCGCUAAUAAAGUCGGUCCACGUUAAUGACAAAAAUGUACAUUUAAUGGUGACAGGCGGUUGCACGGUGAAUGAGUGGUUAGCAGGCCUCACAGCGAGGAGACCCGCGUUCAAUUCCACCCUCGGCCAUCUCUGAGUGGAGUUUGCAUGUUCUUCCCGUGCAUGUGUGGGUUUUCUCCGGGUACUCCGGUUUCCUCCCACAUUCCAAAAACAUGCUAGGUUAAUUGGCGACUCCAAAUUGUCCAUAGGUCUGAAUGUGAGUGUGAAUGGUUGUUUGUCUAUAUGUGCCCUGUGAUUGGCUGGCGACCAGUCCAGGGUGUACCCCGCCUCUCGUCUGAAGACAGUUGGGAUAGGCUCCAGCACCCCCGCGACCCUCGUGAGGAAAAGCGGUAGAAAAUGAAUGAAUGAUUAGAGCCUUCUAGACAUGACAUAACACCCAUAUAGUACCCAAUAUAAAACAAAUCAUUUAAGUCAUCUAUGCCAAAUAAAGGAACCUUUAUUCAGGUGAUGCAUAACAUGACCCCAGUGAUAGAAUCACCGUUUGCAUGUCGGUUUUUGGGAAUUUAUAAUCCAAUCGCCUCGAGGUCUCCACACACAAUGGUUGUUUGUCUAUAUGUGCCCUGUGAUUGGCUGGCGACCAGUCCAGGGUGUACCCCGCCUCUCGCCGCUUUCUCUCCCAGAAAGCUGGGAUAGGCUCCAGCACCACCGCGACCCUUGUGAGGAUAAGCGGUAGAAAAUGAAUGAAUGGUUGCAGGCCGCCACAAAUAAAUGAACGCACGUGGAACAGUGUCCUGAAAGCACAGCAGCAAUAGGAAACCAUGGUUUGUUCCCCUCAGUUCAUAGCUCUGCUUUGAGAUAUGAAAACGAAAGUUAAAGCCAAUAUAAGAUGACAAACUGCCCACCAAAAUCCAUUUUCCGGACUUGUCUUCCAGUGAUGAGCGGCUCUGACAAAUUGCAACGAAUGCGCUCUCACUUCACUUUGUCCAUUUCACAUGCACACUGAUCAAACAUAAGCAAUCGGUUUAUCCUAACAGAGUAUUUUCUACACAGCCCUCGCAGACAUGAUGCAUCCUAACAAGCGCAUGCAUAUUGCAUCACCUUUACAUAUGUUUUUAGGGAAUAUCUCUUUUUUGCAUUAAUGCGAAUCCCGGAGAGCUUUUGGUGCAACAUUACUGGCAAUGAAGAUACAAUGAAAACAGGCCAAUACAUUUCCAUUGGCUGAUGUUUCUGACAUUUAGACAUAGCAGCCCCUUGGCAGAAGAAGUCACGGGGGCGCCCUGGGGCACAAGGAGUUCUUGUUAAUGGACGUGUAGUCAAGCUGCUCUAAUGAAGAUCUUCACUGCUUUUAAAGGAAGAAUUCUAAUCAUCUUUAUCAUCCUGUUGGUCUACUGCUGUAAUGAAUGUUGUAAAAUACGAAGGAAUGUCAGGGCCAUGCUGAAAAGAACGAUAAAUAGAAAAAAAAAAGCUGCAAUGUUAUGAAAAAAAACAAUCUUACUAGAUUAAAUUUGUAUUUUCUGAAAAAUUCUGUAUUU